rnacentral:misc_RNA from 1 species
AAUGAAAGCAUUGAAAAAGAAAGUAUAUAAAUAGAAAGCAUAAAACAGCCAGCCAAGAGUUGACAAAUUUCGGAGACAGAUGCAUUGUAUAAGCCAUAGUGUGCCAUUCAGUAGGUUGUGGGAAAAUACCAAAGCAACCAAGCAUAAGACCACAAAUAUUGAAGGAAUGUAAUGGUAAACAUACGUAAAAAAGACAUGAAAAAGCUAAUUCUAAUGCCCAAGCACUUAUUUGGCACUUUGAUGACAAAAAACAUUGUUGGGAACUUACUUAGAGCUCCAUUAGUCUUGUUUUGAGCUCCAAUUAUUUGGCGCAUUGAUGACAAGGAUCAUUGUGGGGAACUAAAUUAGAGUUCCACCAGUCUUGUUUUGAUGCUCUUGCCUAGGAAAUUUGCAGGAUUUUUUACUCUCUAGAAGAUGAUUGUUUUUGUAAUUUUACAUUCUAUGGGAAGUUCUAGAUUUCUAUAGGAGUCUUUAUUUUAGAGUCCUUGUUGAUUAAGGAUUACAUUUUGGGAUCACUUUUUAGAUUGAUUAUGGUUAAGUUUUACUUUGGAAUCCAAAUCCUUAAAAAGAAUAAGAAUUUACUUUUUGAGUCUAUAAAUGCCUACAUUUGUAAUGUUGUUUGAUAGUGUUUUUAUCAAUAAGAAUUCCUGCAGUUUUGCUUCAUGAGUUUUUGAUACAAUUCUACACGAGUGUGAUGCCUAAGGAUGUUUAGG